UACGGGGGGAGCAAGCGUUGUUCGGAAUUACUGGGCGUAAAGGGUUCGUAGGUGGCCAACUAAGUCAGACGUGAAAUCCCUCAGCUUAACUGGGGAACUGCGUCUGAUACUGGAUGGCUUGAGUGCAGGAGAGGAACGCGGAAUUCCAGGUGUAGCGGUGAAAUGCGUAGAUAUCUGGAGGAACACCGGUGGCGAAGGCGGCGUUCUGGACUGCAACUGACACUGAGGAACGAAAGCCAGGGGAGCAAACGGG
rnacentral:rRNA from 1 species